GAAGUGGGUAGUCCGCACGAGCGCACCUCGUCCUUAGUUGCCAUCAUUUAGUUGGGCACUUUAAGGAAACUGCCGGUGAUAAGCCGGAGGAAGGUGGGGAUGACGUCAAGUCCUCAUGGCCCUUACAGGCUGGGCUACACACGUGCUACAAUGGCAUCUACAGUGAGCAGCGAUCCCGCGAGGGUUAGCUAAUCUCCAAAAGAUGUCUCAGUUCGGAUUGUUCUCUGCAACUCGAGAGCAUGAAGGCGGAAUCGCUAGUAAUCGCGGAUCAGCAUGCCGCGGUGAAUACGUUCCCAGGCCUUGUACACACCGCCCGUCACACCAUGGGAGUUGGAUUCACCCGAAGGCGGUGCGCUAACCUUUUAGGAGGCAGCCGACCACGGUGGGUUCAGCGACUGGGGUGAAGUCGUAACAAGGUAGCCGUAGGGGAACCUGCGGCUGGAUCACCUCCUUUCU
rnacentral:rRNA from 1 species